GACGAACGCUGGCGGCGUGCUUAACACAUGCAAGUCGAACGGAAAGGCCCUGCUUUUGUGGGGUGCUCGAGUGGCGAACGGGUGAGUAACACGUGAGUAACCUGCCCUUGACUUUGGGAUAACUUCAGGAAACUGGGGCUAAUACCGGAUAGGAGCUCCUGCUGCAUGGUGGGGGUUGGAAAGCUUCGGCGGUUGGGGAUGGACUCGCGGCUUAUCAGCUUGUUGGUGGGGUAGUGGCUUACCAAGGCUUUGACGGGUAGCCGGCCUGAGAGGGUGACCGGCCACAUUGGGACUGAGAUACGGCCCAGACUCCUACGGGAGGCAGCAGUGGGGAAUAUUGCACAAUGGGCGGAAGCCUGAUGCAGCAACGCCGCGUGCGGGAUGACGGCCUUCGGGUUGUAAACCGCUUUCGCCUGUGACGAAGCGUGAGUGACGGUAAUGGGUAAAGAAGCACCGGCUAACUACGUGCCAGCAGCCGCAGUAA
rnacentral:rRNA from 1 species